rnacentral:rRNA from 1 species
AUUGAACGCUGGCGGCAGGUCUAACACAUGCAAGUCGAGCGGAUGAAGGGAGCUUGCUCCUGGAUUCAGCGGCGGACGGGUGAGUAAUGCCUAGGAAUCUGCCUGGUAGUGGGGGAUAACGUCCGGAAACGGGCGCUAAUACCGCAUACGUCCUGAGGGAGAAAGUGGGGGAUCUUCGGACCUCACGCUAUCAGAUGAGCCUAGGUCGGAUUAGCUAGUUGGUGGGGUAAAGGCCUACCAAGGCGACGAUCCGUAACUGGUCUGAGAGGAUGAUCAGUCACACUGGAACUGAGACACGGUCCAGAAUCCUACGGGAGGCAGCAGUGGGGAAUAUUGGACAAUGGGCGAAAGCCUGAUCCAGCCAUGCCGCGUGUGUGAAGAAGGUCUUCGGAUUGUAAAGCACUUUAAGUUGGGAGGAAGGGCAGUAAGUUAAUACCUUGCUGUUUUGACGUUACCAACAGAAUAAGCACCGGCUAACUUCGUG